GUGCUGCCUUUGCAGCGCAGCAGCUCUUGCCUGCAGGGAAGAGUCGCUCCUGGGCUGUGUUGCGAAGGCAGCACCAGACUAACUAGCUCCUGAAGGGGCCGCACGGCCCCUUCAGGAGCUAGUUAGGCUG